AGAUAAUAGAUACCCUGGUAGUCCAUGCCGUAAACGUUGGGAACUAGGUGUGGGUCUCAUUCCACGAGAUCCGUGCCGCAGCUAACGCAUUAAGUUCCCCGCCUGGGGAGUACGGCCGCAAGGCUAAAACUCAAAGGAAUUGACGGGGGCCCGCACAAGCGGCGGAGCAUGCGGAUUAAUUCGAUGCAACGCGAAGAACCUUACCAAGGCUUGACAUACACCGGAAUCACUCAGAGAUGGGUGCGUCUUCGGACUGGUGUACAGGUGGUGCAUGGUUGUCGUCAGCUCGUGUCGUGGGAUGUUGGGUUAAGUCCCGCAACGAGCGCAACCCUCGUUCUAUGUUGCCAGCACGUCAUGGUGGGGACUCAUAGGAGACUGCCGGGGUCAACUCGGAGGAAGUGGGAUGACGUCAAAUCAUCAUGCCCCUUAUGUCUUGGGCUUCACGCAUGCUACAAUGGCCGGUACAAAGGGCUGCGAAACCGCGA
rnacentral:rRNA from 1 species